rnacentral:ncRNA from 1 species
CGACCCCAGGUCAAGCGGGAUUACCCGCUGAGUGUAAGCAUAUCAAUAAGCGGAGGAAAAGAAACUUACUAGGAUUCCCCCAAUAAUAGCGAGCGAACCAGGAAAAGCCUAGCUUGAGAAUCAGGCGCCACCGGCUUCUAAAUUGUAGUCUGAAAAAGCGUCCUUAGUAGUGGACCGAGCCUAAGUCCCCUGGAAAGCUGCGCCGGAGAGGGUGAGAGCCCCGUCGUGCUCGGACCCUGUUGCACCACGAGACGCUGUCUACAAGUCGGGUUGUUUGGGAAUGUAGCCCUAAUCAGGCGGUAAAUUCUAUCCAAGGCUAAAUAUGGGCAAGAGAUGAUAGCGAACAAGUGCCGCGAGGGAAAGAUGAAAAGGACUUUGAAAAGAGAGUCAAAAGGUGCUUGAAAUUGUCGGGAGGGAAGCGGAUGGGGCAGGCGAUGUGCCCCGGUUAGAUGUAGAACGGUGAACUGGUUCGUCGAUCGGCUCGGGGCAUGGACCGAUGCAUGAAGACGUCUUCACCUCGAUCGUGGGAUCCAACACGUGCCGUCUCGGCGUGCUUUGGCACUUGCGUGCUCCGCACGAUGGCCUGCGGGAUCCCGUUCGGCCCGUGUUAAAAUAAGAAACAAGGAGUCUGACAUGUGUGCGAGUCAAUCGGUUAGAAAACCCGUAAGGCGCAAGAAUGCUGAUUGGCGGGAUCCCUCGCGGGUGCACUGCUGAUCAAACUUGAUCUUCUAAGAAGGGUUCGAGUGAGAGUAUGUUGUCGGGUCUCGAAAGAUGGUGAACUAUGCUUGACUGGGGCGAAGCCAGAGGAAACUCUAGUGGAGGUCUACAGUGAUACUGUCAUGCAAAUCGUUCAUCUGACUUGGGUAUAGGGGUGAAAGACUAAUCGAACCAUCUAGUAGCUGGUUCCAUAUCCAUUUCUGGUAAGCAGAACUAGCGAAGUGGGAUGAACUGAAUGUCAGGUUAUGGUGCCUAACUGCACGCUAACCUAGAACCCACAAAGGGUGUUGGUCGAUUAAGACAACAGGACAGUGGUCAUGGAAGUCGAAAUCCGCUAAGGAGUGUGUAACAACUUACAUGCCGAAUCAACUAGCCCCGAAAAUGGAUGGCGCAUCAACGUGUGACCUAUACUCGAUUGUUGGGGUAAGGGCUAGGCCCCGAUGAGUGAAAAGGUGCGACAGUUACCGUAAAACCUGGGGCGCGAACCCAGAUAGAGCGGCCGUCGGUGCAGAUCUUGGUGGUAGUAGCAAAUAUUCAAAUAAGAACUUUAAAGCCCGAAUAGGGGAAAGGUUCCAUGUGAACGUCACUUGCACAUGUGUUAGUCGAGACGCGGUGAAUGACGACAAUGUUAGGGAGUGCAGAGACAACGGUGGGGACCUCAGGAAGGGUUAUCUUUUCUAUUUAAUGGACUGUCCAUCCUGGAAACGGCUUAGUCGAAGGUAGGGUCUAGUGACCGGAAGAGUACCACACGUCGAGUGGUGUCCAUUGUACCCUUGACAGCCAUGAAAAUCUAGAGGACCAAGUACUGUCUGUGCUCGGUCAUACUCAUAACCCCAUCAGGUCUCCAAGGUGAAUAGCCUCUGGUCAAUGGAACAAUAUAGGCAAGCGAAGUCGGGAAAAUGGAUCCGUAACCUCAGGAAAAGGAUUAGCUCUGAGGGCUGGGCAUAGGGGUCUUAGUCCCGAACUCGUCGGCUGCAGAUGCAUGCUGAGCUGCUGCUGUGGCGAGAGUAGGUCACUGCAUGCCGACCGGGGGAAAGACUGGGAACGGCUCCCUCGGGGGCCUUUCCCGGGCGAUGAACAAUUGACUCAAAAUUGGUACGGACAUUUGGAAUCAGAUUGUUUGAUUAAAACAAAUUAUUGUGAUGGUCUCUGCAGAUGUUCACGCAAUAUGAUUUCUGCCCAGUGCUCUGAAUGUCAAAGUGAAGAAAUUCAAGAAAGCGCGGGUAAACGGCGGGAGUAACUAUAACUCUCUUAAGGUAUCCAAAUGCCUCAUCAUCUAAUUAGUGUCGCGCAUGAAUGGAUUAACGAGAUUUCCACUGUCCCUGUCUACUAUCCAGCGAAACCACAGCCAAGGGAACGGGCUUGGCAGAAUCAGCGGGGAAAGAAGACCCUGUUGAGCUUGACUCUAUUCCGAAUUUGUGAAAUGACUUGAGAGAUGUCGGAUAAGUGGGAGCUCUCAGGCGAAAUUGAAAUACCACUACUUUUAACGUUAUUUUACUUAUUUCGUGAAUUGGAGGCGGGGCACGGCCCCUAUUUUUGGACCCAAGGCUGGCUUCGACCAGCCGAUCCAGGCGGAAGAUAUUGUUAGGUGGAGAGUUUGGCUGGGGCGGCACAUCUGUUAAAAGAUAACACAGGUGUCCUAAGAUGAGCUCAAUGAGAACAGAAAUCUCGUGUGGAACAAAAGGGUAAAAGCUUGUUUGAUUCUGAUUUCCAGUACGAAUACAAACCGUGAAAGCGUGGCCUAUCAAUCAUUUAGACCUUUAGACUUUGAAGCUAGAGUUGUCAGAAAAGUUACCAUAGGGAUAACUGGCUUGUGGCAGCCAAGUGUUCAUAGCGAAGUUGCUUUUUGAUCCUUCGAUGUCGGCUUUUCCUAUCAUUAUGAAGCAGAAUUCACCAAGUGUUGAUUGUGUAACACCAUGAACUAGGGUUACGAGGCAUUAGUUAACUAAAAACACAAUUCCGAACAAUUAUAUAUAAAAACCAAUUUCAAAAAUCGGUCAAAAUUUAUUUUUAAACUAGUACAUACUUCACAAAAUACUAACGUACAUUUAUGCAUGCUAAUACCAUGUAAUAGAUUAUUUAUGAAACUAACUUUUAUUACUUAAAUGUAUAAUUUGUCAUGGAAACCUAAUACAUAUGACUAAAUACACAUAUUUUUAUUUCUUUCUUUUCAACGAAUAUAGAUCAUAACCAAAUUCUCAAAUUUCAAUAUUUUUAUCUUGUAAAUAUUCAACUCAAAUAAUAAUACAUUCAUCCACUUCAUUUCAUGUAUACUCACAAGUGCCGAAUCAUAGGUGACUCAAAAAUAAUUUUCAUAAGUACCAUUUCAUAACCGAAUACCAUUUCUUCAGUCAUAGUCAUUUAACUAACAAUUAUAUAAUCAAAACAUGCAUUUUCUCAUACCAUAUAAUGAACAUAUCAAGGCAAAGUUAUAUGAUGGUUGGACAUAAUCUAAUAACCUUUAAAGUCAAAUCAUAUAUAAUAUCUUGACUAUAUUCUAUAAUAAAAAAAAUUCAAAUAAUCAUUUAUUCAUAGUACUUAACAUGUUAACUAAAACAAAUUCGUACCACAACCAAGUAUAGCUAAAUUCAAACUUAGUAUUUAAUCGAUAUACGCAGCAUAUUUAUCCAUUCUCAAUUUCAAAUACCAAAUAUAACCAUAACAAACCAAUCAUCUUUAUGACCAAUUUCUUCAUACCAUAACCUAAUCAUUAAUCAACUUCAAUGCACAAAUUUAUAUCACUAUCAAACCAUUUCCAGCACAUAUAUCAUAGUGUUAUAACAAAACAGUUUAAUCCGUAACCAAAGAUGAUCGAAACUAAACUUAGAAGUAAAGCCAUUUUCGCAUGGCUCAAAUUAUACAUACCCAAAGUUGAACAAAAUACAUAUUAGCCUAUACAUGCCAUAAGUUCGAAAAUAGACUUUUAAAAUUACUGAAAGUUGACGAUAGUGUGGAUGACUUCGAUAACGAUCCCCGAGCUCGUAACUUACAACCAAAAUCUAUAAAACAGAGUAGCAAAAAUACACAAAGUAAGCUAACUUAGCUUAGUAAGCCUUAAGCAAAAUAAACAACUCACUGAAUAAUCAAAACAUUCAAACUAACCAUAUAUCAAUAAUGUUAUACUUUAACAUAUUAAGAUACCUUGACCGAAUGUUCAAAAAAAAUCAAUUAUAUAACAGCACAUAAAUGUUUCCUAUAUAGCCAAUUAUACAAGAUCAAUUAUAUCAUCACAUAGACACUUACAUAUAGGGCCUAAUACACAAAAUUUAUUAUAUUAUCACAUGUGGCCGAAUAUAUAAAAGUUAAAUAAAAUAUCACAUGUAACUGAUAGUUCAAAUUCAAAAGAACAUCACAUAUGGCCGAAUAUGCAUAUUUAAGAUAAAUUCACAUAUAUCUGAGUAUACAAUUUCAAUAUAAGUUCACAUGUAAUCGAAUACUAAAAUUCAAUAUAACCUCACAUGCAGCCGAAUAUACAAGUUUAAUAUAAGCUUACAUGUACUUACCUAUGUGGCCGAACAUAUACAAGGUAAUUUAUCUAAAUUUCACUUGCUCAAUAUCCACAAUAAUUUGAAAUCUUUUAAUCACAGACUUGUAAACAAAUCAUCGGUAUAAAACCUGCUAGGCAUAAGUCUGAAUCACACACUGGCACAAGGCCUGCUAAAACCAAGGUCUGAUAUUUAUUCACCGCUAAUAAGCCUACUAGGCACGAAGCUCGAUCAAUGUCACCAGCACAAAGCUUGCUAAUCUCAAAGCCUGAAUAUCCAAUUAUAGAGUCAUUCCACAACAUUUCAUAUAUCGAAUAGUCCAAUAUUCCAUGUAAUAGAUACACACUUCCAGGGAUUUUAAAUCAGUCGAAUAAAACUCAACCACAGUAAAUCAUUGAUAUAUCACAUUCGGCUAGCAUAAUAAUAGACUAUAAAAUUUGAAACAUCAUAGUAAAACAUUCUAUGUUUAAAAUAAACCAUGUUUAAUUGCUUAAAGACUUACUUGGGAUAUCGACGGAUGUUACAAAACGGCUAUUCGAUUAUUUUUGUUAUUCCGUGAUCCGAGUCCGGUUUCCUUUGUUCUUGAUCUAUAUAAUUUCAAAUUAACCUUAUUUAAACACAAUUUCAGUCAAUUUAAUCCAACAACAUAUAAAUGGGUAAAUUACCAUUUUACCCCUAAUAUUUCAUACUUUUACAAAUUAGUCCUAAUUGCACAAAACACAAAAUACACAAAAUCUCACAACAAUAUAGUUGGGCCGAAUUUUCUGUAUAACCAUACUAGACCAUAUAUUUGAUCUAUUUCACAUUUUAAUCCCUCAAUUUAUUAUUUUUGCAAUUUUAGUCCUAAUAACCCAAAAUCAUCAAAAACUCCAAUACAAAACAUGUUAAUCUAAAACAUAUUUUUGAUAUUUCAUCAUCAAACAUCACAAACAUAAAUAUUCAUCAAUGGCAUAACACAAAAUAUUCACCAAAAUCAAAAAUUCAAACAUGGGUCGAGUAGUAUUCGAAGCAACGAUCUCAAAAACGUAAAAAUUAUCAAAAACUGAGCUAAUUACAUACCUUAAUUGAGCUUAAUAAGUUGCCGAACCCUUAAAGCUUUCUUUUCUUUCUUAUUUUCUUUAAUUUCGGCAAUAACAAAGUACAUGCAUGGUUGUUUUUAUUUUAUGUUAUAAUAUAUACAUAUUAUUACUUAUAAUAUAACUUUAAGUAUUUCAAUAUUAUUUCCACCCACUAACUAGUGACCGAAUGUGUCCAUGCCAAUUUCAAUGGUAUAAUUUCAUUAUAAGUACCCUACAUUAAAAGAACAAAGCAAUUAGGCACUUUAACAAUUACCAUGCAAAUUUUACAUUUUAUGCGAUUAAGCCCUUUUUAUUUAAUUAAGCACACAAACAAUCAAAGUUUCAUAUGAAAUUUUCACACAUGCAAAUUCACAUAUAAUAAACAUGAAAAAUAAUAUUUAAAUAUUUUUUUACUCAGAUUCGUGGUCCCGAAACCAACAUUCCGAUUAAGGUCUAAAUCGGACUGUUACAGAUUGUUCACCCACCAAUAAGGAACGUAAGCUAGGUUUAGACUAUCGUGAGACAGGUUAGUUUUACCCUACUGAUGGUCGCAUUGCAAUAGUAAUUCAACCUAGUACGAGAGAAACAAUUGAUUUGCACGAUUGUCAUCGCGAUUGGUUGAAAAACCAGUGGCGCGAAGCUACUGUGCGCUAGAUUAUGACUCAACGCCUCUAAGUCAGAAUUUGGGCUAGAAGCGACAAACGCGCCCGUUGCCUGAUUACUGACCCACAAUAAGGGCCUCUGGCCCCCAAGGGCACGUGUCGUAGGUGCAGCGACUGCGGCAGUCAAGUCACGGGUGCCUCCUUGGAGCAUAAUUCCCACUGAGCGGCGGGUAGAAUCCUUUACAGAUGACUUAAAUACGCAACGGGUAUUGUAAGUGGUAGAGUGGCCUUGCUACUUCGAUUCGUCCUUCCCCCGAUCCGG